UGAAUUAUAAAAGCGCCAGAACUACAAUUUGUGUAGUUGACGAGGAGGAGUUUUAUCGAGAUUUCGGCGGAUGACUCCCGGUUGUUCAUCACAACCGAAAGCUUUUGCUUAAAACGCUGAGGUGACUCAGUGGACAAAGGUAGAAGCGUGAUGAGAG
rnacentral:ncRNA from 1 species